GAGGAGGAAGACGAGGGGCUAAUAGCAAAUAGUGGGUCAGAGAAAAUUGGUAAUGGUUGGGUAGAGGCAGAGGACUUAUUAGAGGAAGUGAAAGGACUAAAAGUGGGUAGGAGUGAAAAGUGAGUGGGAGUGAGGGAGGUGAAAAUGGCAGAGGUAGAAGAGAUAGACAAGAUAAGAAUGAGGCAAGAAGGGCGGGAGAUUGGGAAAUGGUUUUGAGUACCUCGAAACCCACCGGUGACUGGCUUGGCAGCAGCGGAGGGAGAAAGCAAGUGAGUGAGAGUAUCAUAAAAAUGAAUAGGUUGCACAGUGCAAAUCUGUGUGGAGUUGGAGGUGGUAGAGCUGAUAGAGUGGAUUGGUCAAGUGCAGUGAUAAAGCUGAGCAAAAGCAGCCAAUCUAACAGGCGAGGGGAGAAGAGAGAGGAGACCAGUGAGUCUGAGGUGGUGUGAAUCUGACAGAAGGGCUUUCACCGCCUGGAGACGUGAUGGGGGGGUGCGGGGGGUGCUGAAAAACAGACAGACAAAGUGGCAUUUCCUGACUGUUUCCAUCCCUGUCUGAGUUAUCUGACACCCAAAAAUACGGCUACGGGGGAAGCAGGGAGACGAGGCACCACAGCCUUAUCCCGGUCUUCCGGUGUGUAGCAGCAGUUGACUGACAUUUGGGAGCCAGGGUUGCUGGAAGACACACUGUACGGGGCCAAGACAGAAACAAACAAACAAAAUCAAGCUCUAACUGUUGAGGUGAAGGAUGAUGUUUAAUAUAAGCACAACUGAAGAAGUAUGUGUUGAGUGCUAGGUUUGGGCACCGGGCAUGGAUGGCCUUGGCACUCGAGCGGUCAGACUGUAGUGGGAGUAGCGGUCUUGCGUGAAGCUUUGGAUGGUUUAGGACGGCUUUAGGAGUAUGAAGGGAGAAAUCUGCCCACAUGGUCUGGAGUAGAGGAAACGAGGGGAACAUGGCUAAGUUUGCAUAUGACAGUUCCGUACGCAAAAAAAAGAUUUCUCCGUUGUUGGAAUAGCAUCUGCACUGGAAGGUUUUGACAGGAGCAAAGUGUCCAUCAUGGCUAUCACCAGUGGAUGUGGAUCACUGUGGGGGGACUGUGAUUAACAGAUAGCACCUCAUCUCCCCCGCUGGCAGGCCAUCAUUAUGACAAGCACUAGGAAAUGGGUGCUGUGGGCGAAAAGACCUUUUGGAAAAUGUCAGCGGCAGUCAGAGCCCCAAAUUUCCUCCAUUUGCUCUUUCCCCUGUGAUGCUCAGCCCCUUAAUUACGUAGCCCCUUUCUCUUAUCGCCAAACGCUUUGUAUCCAAGUACAGUGUCUUCUUGUGGCUUACCUGCUGAUUGAACCAAACAAAACACCAGCCGUAUAUUUUACUCAUCUCAGCAAAAACAAAUACAAAACAAAAAACAGCAGUAUCUGCAGCAGUGCUCAUUCCCAAUCCCCUUUCACUGGAGCCAUGCGUCACUGUCUUAAUACUCUUAGUCUUUCAUGUUGGCAUGUUUUCCAAGAACCCGUUGCAUUUUUAGAUUUGUAAAAUCCGCCAGAAUGUCUGCAAUGAAUAUUUCCACAGUCUUGAGUGUUUUAAUGUGCUGUUUGACCAGCCCAACAGAAACGUACAGAUCUGGCACCAGGAUCAGAUUAUUAUUGUGCAGUCUGGUGUGGAAACUGUGGAACAGGUCAUUUUCCAUUUGAACACAAACCCCUUGACAUUUAUCAAGAGAAGCAGGACGUAUUGAUACAUGGAUAUGUUUUGAAGCUCUAAUUAAUAUCUUUCCUGUGCAUGGGUGUACAUGUUAUGUAUAUUUCUAUUUUUUCUUUGCCCCAAAAACAAACAAACAAAACAAAAACUGCUACUAUUACAGAUUUGAUGGAUGUAAAUGUCGUCUUUCCAGACAGGUCUUUGUUGCAUUUUAUAGUCUGUUUUUGUUGUUGUCUUAAUUAGCUUUUGCUAAAAAAAAAAGAUAGAGAAUACAUGUUGAAUAAAGUCUUGCAUCUUAUUGCUAUGUAAGGAUAAAAUAUUUCUCUUUCUGUCUUUUUUUCACAUUCAGUUUGAGAGGCAAAUUAAUACUUCAAAGUGAGAAGUCACAGAAAAGUUUUCACAUUUAAGCUAUGUAUUAAUUUCAAGGCCU